rnacentral:tRNA from 1 species
CAAAUUAGAGCUUGUAAAAAGUAUUUCAUUUACAUUGAAAAGAAAUUAAUAAUUAAUUAAUUUGA